rnacentral:misc_RNA from 1 species
CUGGUACUUGCACUUUCAGAAUGUAUUUUGCGUUCAAAAGCACACAGGCGCCAGCAAAAAAAAUAGAGCGAAUGCUUUCGUGUAGUAACUGGUACGUAAGCGCGAUAGAGACGGCGGAAAUAUGAAUUUGACUGAUGAGUAAAGAAGUGCGAGACAUUCACGAUGAAGUGCAUGAUACCUGGCAGUAACAUCAAAGUGUUUGGAAGAAGCAUCCACUGUUUAUCAAAGAUUGGAGAAGACUUGUACAUUGAACCUUUAGAUCAUGGGCUGGCUCUCAGGACAGUGAACUCUUCCAGGUCAGCUUAUGCCUGCUUUCUAUUUGCUCCAAGUUUUUUUCUGUCAUAUAUCAAUGAGUCAUGGAAUGAGCAGAAGGCCAGCCAACAGGAAGAGGACAGCUUUAGAUGCAGAAUAACCAUGAAGUCUUGCCUGUCGGUCUUUAAAUCACUCUACACACUGGAGAAAACAGUCGAUAAAUGUCAGAUUUAUGUUGAUCUGAAAGAUUGCCGACUAGUCUUUCUUCUUCAUUGCAAGCAUGGCAUUGUGAAGACCCAUAACCUUACUUAUCAAGAAACAGAGACUCUUCAAGCUGUGUUCUCCAAAGAUCUUUGUCCUAAUCACAUCAUUGCUAAUUCAAAGGCUUUGAUUGAAGUUGUCAGUGGCUUCCAGACAUCGCAAGAGGAGAUUACAUUGAAUGUAAAUCCUCAACAAGUCAGCUUCAAGAACUAUAUAGAAGAUGAACCAGAUCCUAAUAAGGUUGUUCACUCUGAGAUGUUUCUUAGUCCAAGUGAGUUUGAUGACUACACAAUAGGUGUUGAUGCAGAAGUAACAUUUUGCCUAAAGGAAUUAAGGGCUGUGUUAUCUUUUGCUGAUGCUUCUGGCUUACUAGUGUCACUGCACUUUGAAUCCACCGGAAAACCUAUUGUGUUUUCAAUGGAGAGUGAUCAAACUAUAGAAGCAACAUUUGUCCUUGCGACCUUAGCUGAUCUUCCCUCAAGUCAGAAUUCCUCUCAGCGCAGAGUCACAUCAGCCUCUCAACACAGUGCAGUCAAUCACUCUAGCCACACUCACAGGGAAACUAGGACUACUGAUACGCAUACACAGAAUGAAGUGAAUUUUCGAGAUGACCUGAACAGCAAGAAGAGAAGUAGGCAUUGCAUACAAUCAGAAUCACUCAGGAUGGAAGAUGCUGAGCCUGAGUUUGAGCUGGGAAACAUCAACAGGAUAUCAUCAAGGAGUUCCAGUUGUGCUGUCAUUCCAUUGCAUUCACAUAUCCGCCAAGCACAUAAGCAUCAGGCUAGACCGGCACUCUUCCCAGAACUCUCAUCUGACCCAGCAGACAGUGAAGAAACUACUCAGGUACCCAGACCAAACCGGACACUACUAGCUAAUUUUGAAGAGUGUGAAGUGGGUGAAGAUGGUCAUGAUUCUCAACAGACACAUAUGGCUUCCGUGGAGCAGGCUGUUGAUAAAGCCAGUGUCAGUGAUAGUGAGGACUUAGACUUCGUGCCGGGAACUCCUCCCAGUAAAAAGUUCAAGUCUAUGUUCUUUGGAGCAUCUCAACAGGCAAGCCAACCAGUUGAGCCUGCCCAGAACUCAACUGUGGUGUUGUGUGAGGAUACUGAUGAGGAUUCUGAUUGAGAAUCAGCACUAUCCUUACUAUUGGAAUCAUCUGACAGUAUACUGGGAACUUCAGGAGAAUAUGAUUGUAGCAAUAGCUAUAUAAAGUGACAUUCAUUCCUGCUUCUCCAAAUAAUAUUACAUUGAUAUUCAGUGACAGAGAGUAGGAAGUAAACGAGCAGCAUUUCUUCAUAGUACUAACAGAUUCACCAAAAACUUUUAAGCUUUUAAUACACCCUAAGUAGUUGCAUUCCAAGUCUUAUGUGUGCACCACAACUUUCAAACUUGACUAUCCAAUUAAACACACUACAUUUGACAGAAGUAGGUCACCAAUUUCAAGCUGUAUCCAAAUACUGCUUGACUGUCACUUACCUUAGGUAUUAAAAUACAGCUUAACUGGACUUUAUAUGUCAUUGCAUUAAGUUUCAUAAAUUUGGCUGUAGUCAGUAGAUCUUAAAUUCGAAACUGCCUGAUAAAUUCACAUGUAACUGUGUAGUUCCUAUUUUUAAUACUUUGGCAAAUUGGCACAAAGUUUCCUAUCAGACCUACAUUGACUGUUGACCAAGAUGUUGAAAACUCUCCUUACUCUGUAUUCCCUAGAUCGUCGUUUUCCCCAAAGCUAAUGGAAAACAGAGUGCUCUUUCGGUUACUAGGGAAGCUAGUUUUCUUGUAACACCGGUUACGGAGCAUUUAAUACACAAGUACAGUUUACAGUGCCUCACCCGUAGAUUCGGCUUCAGUGAAUACAUGUAUAUGAUUAAAUGUUGGAAUAUUAGUGACCAAAUAGUUCCAUAUCAUCUAUGCAAGUAAGAGAACAUUUGAGUCAAGUGUAACACACUGA